GUACGAAAAAAGAGGUGCAGAGAAAAACACAAUGUGAGAUAUAAUUAGAAGUGCCUGUGCAAAAUGUCAGCUCAGCUUCCCCUCCUCCAGCUAGUGCUUCCAAAAAUGUGAUUCCUGGAGCCUUUGAGUUUAUUUCUGGUUGAUCUGAAUGCAUUUUAUGAGCCAUUUCCCAAAAUAUCCAUUGGAUCUCCUUUGGCCAUCGUAAUCAGCUCAUAAAUUGAGCUCAUCAGCUGUAGGGCUGGAAGAUGGUGCUUCUCAGCCACGAGGGCCAUCAUGUGGGAUUCCUCUCUUCUAGCCACUGAAACCACAGCUGAGACGCUGGCUGGGACAACUCAGCUGCAACCAAAACCAUCCCGGUAGAAGGCUGAAGGUCUGGCUCUGUCACCCAGGCUGGAGUGCGGUGGCGUGAUCACAGCUUACUGCAGCCUCGACCUCCUGGGCUCAAGCAAUCCUCCCACCUCAGCCUCUCGAGUAGCUGAGGGACUACAGCAUCUAUUUUGGCAUGAGACUCCCCCUCAGCAGAUUCCUGAAUAGCAGCUGCUCUUGAUGAUUGCAAGGGGCCCCGCGGCCUGGUGGGACCAAGGCUUCUGCCGUCUGCUCUCCUCCAAACCUGCCUGUGCUCAGUGUGGACUCUGCAAACCUGGAGGCCCAGUGCAGGGGUGGGCUGGGCCUGGAGUUGUCUCUUCUGGUUCCAGCGUCAUCCUGAAACUUCUCUAGCUGCUGCCCCAGGUGUCGUGGUGCCCAUGUCACCUGUGUCCCACAUGGAAAUCUCAGCAGCCCUAGGGAAUGAAGACACCGCGACAGCUCAGUUGUUUAGGCCCAGCUCACCGGAGUCGAGUGCACGCCCACUCAGGAAGACACUGAGAAAGAAAGAGGAGAUGCAGGAGGAGGCCGAGGAGGAGGAAAGAUGUGACUUGCCCAACCAGUUACUCCUGAGUGCCCUGCUGGUCUCUAAAAGCAGAACAUGCUGCUCUGGGAGACAAAAUGGAGAGGCUGCAGAUGCUUGUGCAUGUAGAGAUGUGAACGGUGUGACAGGAGAGUUGCGGCUGUUCUCGGCUGGACACUGCUGACACUUGCUGGCUCGAUGAGGUUUGCACGUCGGCUGUCCCCCAUGAGCCCCAGACUCCUUGUCUACAGGAUGAAGGCAGUAAGAGCUCACAGUGUAAGCUGAUUGUGGGAAUUAAAUGAGAUGCCCAGGUAACGUACUUCGCAGUGUUCUGCUCACACAAGCAUGCAGGUCAUGGAAGAUGAUUGCGGAGCUACCACUGGGUGUGAAGUGAGAUGCUGGGGAAAGAGCAGAUAUGACACACAGCUUAUAUCAGAGAAACUUAUAUAUAAGGACAUACUAUUCGAUAAAAGUGGCAUUUUGAAUCAAUAAAGAAGGGAGGAAUUGUUCAACCAACUGUUGGGGGAAAAUUAGCUGAUGAUUUGGAAUUUUAAAACGAUGUAUGCCAAACUUUAAACCUGAUGUUAAAAUAUGUUCUAGAACUAUUCAAAAGUUAAAUAUAAAAAUCCAAACCAAAUAAACUUACUUGUUGAUAUUGCAAUGUAAAAGAG
rnacentral:lncRNA from 10 species